rnacentral:rRNA from 1 species
UACGUAGGGAGCAAGCGUUGUCCGGAAUCAUUGGGCGUAAAGCGCGCGUAGGCGGCCCUGUAAGUCCGCUGUGAAAGUCAAAGGCUCAACCUUUGAAAGCCGGUGGAUACUGCAGGGCUAGAGUCCGGAAGAGGCGAGUGGAAUUCCUGGUGUAGCGGUGGAAAUGCGCAGAAUAUCAGGAGGAACACCAAUAGCGAAGGCAGCUCGCUGGGACGGUACUGACGCUAAGGCGCGAAAGCGUGGGGAGCGAAACAG